ACGGAUCCCUUCGUUUCGGCAAAAUGUUUUGAUUCUAUUUAGGAUUUGCGCUAGCCAGAUUUGCCAACCUUCUGUGCCAUUGGAGGGCCGUGAUUCUGCUACCCAGAUAUUUUCUAGUUGUGUACAAAGGUUUGGAUUUUUUAGAUAGCUUGUAUUGAAUCUGAAUUGUCGAUCUGUUUCAGUGUUCCAAUUCUAUUUUCUAAUUUCUAAAUGGACAGGGAGGUGAUCAGAGAGAGUGCUAUAUCCUUUCAAGAUUUUUAUCUUGCCUCCUCCCUCCCCACCGCACUUGCCGGUGUAGAAUCUGUCUAAUCGGGCUAGAAGGCUGUUGUCUCAUUUAUUUGACAAAGAGAAUUUUAGUCCACCCCUGCAUUUAAAGUCAUCACUAAUCUAUGUGUGCUCUAAUCCGAGUCUAAACACUAGUGUAUCCCAUGCCUGUUGUGCAUCGGCGCUUAGUUACUUUAGAGGGUUGCCGCUCCUAUCAACUUUCCUUUCUACUAUUUUCAUGUCUCUGGCCACUAUCCAAGAUUUUGUGUGGAUAGGUUGGCGUUGAUUUUGUCCUACAAAACUGACCAUUUGUGGCCUCGAUUGGAGGCAUACACAUGCAAGAAUCUUAGUGUUUACUUUUCCAACUUACUAAGUAUCCACUAUGCACGUCUGGGACUAGUAUUUUGGAAUUGAGUACACAGUGGUGCAUCGAUGUAGACAUGAGGAUGGCCAUGCUGAGUCGAUAAUGACUUGUAGCCUCAUUCAAUUCUGCCCCGUUCCAUAGAGCUUGAGUUUGAAACCGUCAUCUCUUCACCUUUCCAGUUAUGCAGCUAGACAUGCCCCAGAUGUUCUAGGUCAUGAUGUGUAAUAAGAUGUCUGUCAUCUUAUUGAGUGGGUGGUGUUGCAUCCACCACCGACCAAGGUGGUUCCAAGGAGUUAUGCCUGUAUAGGAGAUGUGGGGUGUAGAAAUGGAGGCCGAGGUGCCACCUCAUGAUUGCUCUCGUGAGGGUUGUUAAAAUCUGUAGUUUCGGCAAGAGGACUCUAUUCUCGUCUCUCCUAAUCAAGAUACAAUCGGUUGCUUGCUGGAGAGAUGUGCGGAUUAAUCCACAUCGUGGAUUGGUUACAUUGUGCUGUUGGUAUUGAGGGCAGGAGAAGAAGACCUGCUCUGCCUUGUGUGCAUUUGUUGUGGAUAUGCAUGGUGCCAAGUGAUCCUCGACCCAUGUCAAAGGUGAUCAGUGCUGUCACCUAUUAGCAGCUCUCUUCUACAUUGAAGGUCGAUUGGAGGAAUCUGCGUCGAGUUUGAGGCAGUUGUGUGCUCCACUCAUGAUGAUGCCUUGCUCACAUAGGGCUGUGCCGAUCAUACUCUAUGUGGGAUUGAUAUUAAUUGUGUAAGCAUCUUGAGUGGAAACCUCUCUUUUGGAGCUAGUUCUCAGUCCGGAUGAAUCCAUACCCCGAGAUCAUCACUCUCCGUCCAUUGUUGUUGAGCCUCAUCGAAGUAGAAUGUGUUGUCUAUGUGCGAAGUCUCCAUGAGUGCUAGUAUGUGGCAGAUGUAGCUACCAUCUUCUAGUUUUUGCCAUUGGUCCAUCCACGUGAUUGUGUCUCCGGUUCUUUAGGUGAGACUCUUAUUCCCCAGUCUGAGGUUCCGCAAUAGAUCUGCUUGUAACUAUUUCCAGCAAAGUUGGCGGAGAUCUUCAAGCUUGGAUGUAGUGUUAGUAGGAAGGGAGAUGCGUGUGCCCUGUAAAUCUCCAACUAGCGUACUCAGAUACCUUUGUUGUGUAUCAGUUCUCAUUGUGUCUAUUAUAGGUCACAUCUGUAGUUGUUUUUUGCCCUCUUUGGGUGUAUUCUGAAAAUUGAAAGUAUUCCAUAUUUGCAUCUUGAGCCUA